AUAGUUCUCUUUAGUUUUCCCAUGAUUUAUCACAAGCAAGUUCACAGCAGGUUAAAAUAAUUGAAUGCGGUGAUAGCAUACAUACUGGCAUGAUUUUAUGAGCCGUCAUUCAUAACAUAUUUGUCCCAAAGCAUAAUUUCCAUGAUAGAACUCUGAUUCACAUGUAAUUUUUUUGCAGCGACGACACAGUUGAAAUAACUCCUUCGUGGAGGCUGGCUACAUUUUCACAACGUCUGGUCCCAAGCUAGAUCUUCGGGAAAAGGGAUCAAGGAAAUGACUAUUCCUCCAAAUAAAAUGCAACAAGAAGAAUGAAAAAACGUAGAAGAGAAAGCCUCGUGAAACUGAGAAGCAUCUGCAACCACAAACUACAAAAUGUAGCUGCUAAACAAAAUGAAAGUUGGAUCAAAGUGGUGGCAAAUAUCAAGAGUGAAUAUACUCCACGGCAGAGUACUGCAAAUGCUGCACAUCUUUCAUGGAUUCUGGUCCACCUCAUCCUCACGCGGGGAUGCAGACUGACAAGCUUCCACCAUGAAGGGUUGUCAUUUGCCAUAGCAGGGAGAGGAAAAUGGAGCAAAUCAGUCAACAGCUCGUCAUACAGAAGAGUGUCCCACGUCAUAUCUGCUGAUAUGUUAUGGCCAAAGUACAUGACUAUCUCCAAGGAGCUGAGAGGUGAAAUUCAGACAUUUGUCUGGAUGGAGUAGAACCAAGACAGUCGUAAACAUCCUAUGGACUACACACCGUUUAACAAGAUGCAACAGUAUUCUGGCUUCGCCUUUCCUGGAGCCCUUAAACAGCCUGAAGUGAAAAGCACCAUGACCUGUCACUACAAGACGAGAAGCCUCAGGAGAAGGAAGGAGAUCCCCUUUCAUUGGUUUUGCCGAGUUUCCCGAGCUCCAUCCUCCUACAGUUAAAUCAACACUCUUUAUCCUUAGACUGCUGAUAAUCUCACCAACCGCUUCCUGGUAAGAUCUGUAAUGCGUGAGGUCUUCCUUCUUAGUUGUUUGCAAACAUCAGUGAUUAGGGACAAUUAGGGACUGGUGUGCCUGUCAUUCUUCUCCUUUCAGCUGAGGAGGAAAUCCUCAUGCACCGUUAUCGGGAGUGAGACUUCAUCUGUCAGCUGCAGUCUCAGGAAUCCACGGGUUCAUUCAGUCGCAACUCCAAUCUCACUAACUUUAUCUGUGUUCCCCAAAUGCCUUAGACUAUUUGCUUCCCACUGACAGGGAAACCUGACAUCUCAUUUUCUCAGUGUCCAGACAAAGAUUCGUACAUAGCAAGAAACUAAGAUAGCUGUUACAGAACGUGGAGGGAACCAGGAAAACCAAAUAGAGGACCCCCUUCGUGGGGCUUCCAACACGACAAUAGGCAAAAGAGAAGAAACAUACAUGUAAGAGACAAGCAAAACCCAGAACCAUCACUUACGAAGGAUGUCCUCAUCACCCCUCCUUUGCUGCCUGUCAAAACCGGUGAGGGCUCAUAUGACACCUUAAUUAUGAAUUAAUCUUCGUUCCUCCUACACCAGCACUUCCCCUUACCCCAGUCGAAGCCAUCUCUUUAUAUUUCCAUAGCUUAAAAUGCUAUUUUUGGUUCUAGAUGCUUUGCCUCUAGAUUUGGAUACUGCAUCCAUAUUGUUGUAUAUUUUUUCCUUUCUAUCUUUUCCACAAUGUUUUUUUGUUUUUAACUUUUAAGUUUAGGGGUCCAAGUGCAGGUUUGUUACAUAGGUAAACUUGUGUCAUGGGGGUUUGUUGUACAGAUUAUUUCAUCACCAAGAUAUUAAGCCUAGUACCCAUUAGUUACGUCUUUCUUCUCCCACCCUCAACGUUCCAAAAGGCCCCAGUAUGUGCUGUACCUCUCUAUGUGUCCAUGUGUUCUCAUCAUUUAGCUCCCACUUAUAAGUGAGAACAUGUGGUAUCUGGCUUUCUGUCCCUACGUUAGUUUGCUAAGGAUGAUGGGCUCCAGCUUCAUCCAUGUCCCUGCAAAGGACAUGGUCUUGUCCUUUUUUAUGGCUGCAUAGUAUUCCAUGGUGUAUAUGUACCAAAUUUGCUUUAUUCAGUCUACCAUCGAUGGGCAUUUAGGUUGAUUCAAUGUCUUUGCUAUUGUGAAUAGUGCUGCAAUGAACAUUCACGUGCAGGUGUCUUUAUCAUAGAAUUAUUUAUAUUCCUUUGGGUAUAUAUCCAGUAAUGGGAUUGCUGGGUUGAAUGGUAGUUCUGUCUGUAGGUAUUUGAAGGAUCACCACACUGUCUUCCGCAGUGGCUGAACUAAUUUACACUCCCACCAACAGUGUCAAAGCAUUCCUUUUUCUCCACAACCUCGCCAGUGCCUGUUGUUUUUUGACUUUUUAAUAAUAGCCGUUCUGACUGGCGUUAGAUGGUAUCUUGUGGUUUUGAUUUGCAUUUCUCUAGUGACCAGUGAUGUUGAGCUUUUUCUCAUGUGAUUUUCAGCCACAUACAUGUCUUCCUUUGAAAAGUGUUCAUGUCCUUUGCCCACUUCUUUAUGUGGUUGUUUGUUUUUUUCUUGUAAAUUUAUUUAAGUUCAUUAUAGAUGCUGGAUGUUAGACCUUUGUCAGAUGCAUAGUUUGCAAAAAUUUUCUCCCAUUCUGUAGGUUGUCUGUUUACUCUGUUGAUAGUUUCUUUUGCUAUUCCACAAUGUUUUGUGCAAGAUAAGUGCUUAGCAAAUGCUUGUAAAGGAAUGCCUGCACCAGGAAAGUCCAAUAGCUAUGAAUAAAGAAAGAAAGGACAAGUUCCAGGGGAGGUGAUUUUUUUUUCAUUUUCAUUUUUUUUAGACAGCUUUUAAAGGAAUGGAGUAGCAUGUUCUUCUGGAGCAGGAGUUACAAAUUGGACCUCUAAGGGCCACAUUCAGCCUAUCCACAUGGUUGCAGCACUGACAGAGUGUUUUGAAAUUUUAAACUCUGAAUACUUGUAGAUAACAUACGCAUGCCACAAUAAACUGCGUUUCCAUC
rnacentral:lncRNA from 1 species